rnacentral:misc_RNA from 1 species
GAUGAAGAACGUAGCAAAAUGCGAUAAGUAAUGUGAAUUGCAGAAUUCAGUGAAUCAUCGAAUCUUUGAACGCACAUUGCGCCCCCUGGUAUUCCGGGGGGCAUGCCUGUCCGAGCGUCAUUGCUGCCCAUCAAGCGCGGCUUGUGUGUUGGGCCGCCGUCCGCCUUCCCCCCCGGGGGGAGGGGGACGGGCCCGAAAGGCAGCGGCGGCACCGCGUCCGGUCCUCGAGCGUAUGGGGCUCUGUCACCCGCUCUGGAGGCCCGGCCGGCGCCCGCCGACCCCCAACCUUCUUCUAACCAGGUUGACCUCGGAUCAGGUAGGGAUACCCGCUGAACUUAAGCAUAUCAAUAAGCGGAGGA